GACGUAGGGCGCGAGCGUUGUCCGGAUUUAUUGGGCGUAAAGAGCUCGUAGGCGGCUUGUCGCGUCGAUUGUGAAAACCCGAGGCUCAACUUCGGGCUUGCAGUCGAUACGGGCAGGCUAGAGUUCGGUAGGGGAGACUGGAAUUCCUGGUGUAGCGGUGAAAUGCGCAGAUAUCAGGAGGAACACCGAUGGCGAAGGCAGGUCUCUGGGCCGAUACUGACGCUGAGGAGCGAAAGCGUGGGGAGCGAACAGG
rnacentral:rRNA from 1 species